rnacentral:rRNA from 1 species
CGGCGUGCCUAACACAUGCAAGUCGUACGAGAAAGCCGGCUUCGGCUGGUGAGUAAAGUGGCGCACGGGUGAGUAAACGCGUGGAUAAUCCUGCCCUUAAGUGUGGAAUAACGUACCGAAAGGUGCGCUAAUACCGCAUAAUGCCUGGCAACACAAGUUGUCCGGCCAAAGAAGGCCUCUGUUUACAAGCUUUCGCUUCAGGAUGAGUCCGCGUACCAUUAGCUUGUUGGUGGGGUAAUGGCCUACCAAGGCUGCGAUGGUUAGCUGGUCUGAGAGGAUGAUCAGCCACACUGGAACUGAGACACGGUCCAGACUCCUACGGGAGGCAGCAGUGAGGAAUAUUGCGCAAUGGGGGCAACCCUGACGCAGCAACGCCGCGUGAGUGAGGAAGGUUUUCGGACUGUAAAGCUCUGUCGAGCGGGAAGAAGUGUACCAUGGCUAAUAUCCAUGAUAUUUGACGGUACCGCUAGAGGAAGCACCGGCUAACUCCGUG